GACGAACGCUGGCGGCGUGCCUAAUACAUGCAAGUUGAGCGAUGAAGAUUGGUGCUUGCACCAAUUUGAAGAGCAGCGAACGGGUGAGUAACGCGUGGGGAAUCUGCCUUUGAGCGGGGGACAACAUUUGGAAACGAAUGCUAAUACCGCAUAACAACUUUAAACAUAAGUUUUAAGUUUGAAAGAUGCAAUUGCAUCACUAAAAGAUGAUCCCGCGUUGUAUUAGCUAGUUGGUGAGGUAAAGGCUCACCAAGGCGAAGAUACAUAGCCGACCUGAGAGGGUGGUCGGCCACAUUGGGACUGAGACACGGCCCAAACUCCUACGGGAGGCAGCAGUAGGGAAUCAUCGGCAAUGGACGAAAGUCUGACCGAGCAACGCCGCGUGAGUGAAGAAGGUUUUCGGAUCGUAAAACUCUGUUGGUAGAGAAGAACGUUGGUGAGAGUGGAAAGCUCAUCAAGUGACGGUAACUACACAGAAAGGGACGGCUAACUACGUG
rnacentral:rRNA from 1 species